rnacentral:rRNA from 1 species
UACGAAGGGGGCUAGCGUUGCUCGGAUUGACUGGGCGUAAAGGGCGCGUAGGCGGAUAGUACAGUCAGGCGUGAAAUUCCUGGGCUCAACCUGGGGGCUGCGUUUGAUACGUGUUGUCUGGAGUUCGGAAGAGGGUCGUGGAAUUCCCAGUGUAGAGGUGAAAUUCGUAGAUAUUGGGAAGAACACCAGUGGCGAAGGCGGCUCACUGGCCCGAUACUGACGCUGAGGCACGAAAGCGUGGGGAGCAAACAGG